AUUGAACGCUGGCGGCAUGCUUUACACAUGCAAGUCGGACGGCAGCACAGAGAAGCUUGCUUCUUGGGUGGCGAGUGGCGAACGGGUGAGUAAUAUAUCGGAACGUACCGAGUAAUGGGGGAUAACUAAUCGAAAGAUUAGCUAAUACCGCAUAUUCUCUGAGGAGGAAAGCAGGGGACCUUCGGGCCUUGCGUUAUUCGAGCGGCCGAUAUCUGAUUAGCUAGUUGGUGGGGUAAAGGCCUACCAAGGCGACGAUCAGUAGCGGGUCUGAGAGGAUGAUCCGCCACACUGGGACUGAGACACGGCCCAGACUCCUACGGGAGGCAGCAGUGGGGAAUUUUGGACAAUGGGCGCAAGCCUGAUCCAGCCAUGCCGCGUGUCUGAAGAAGGCCUUCGGGUUGUAAAGGACUUUUGCCAGGGAAGAAAAGGCUGUUGCUAAUAUCGACAGCUGAUGACGGUACCUGAAGAAUAAGCACCGGCUAACUACGUG
rnacentral:rRNA from 1 species